CGUACACUCCUGCGGGAGGCAGCAGUGGGGAAUAUUGCACAAUGGGCGCAAGCCUGAUGCAGCCAUGCCGCGUGUAUGAAGAAGGCCUUCGGGUUGUAAAGUACUUUCAGCGGGGAGGAAGGUGUUGAGGUUAAUAACCUCAGCAAUUGACGUUACCCGCAGAAGAAGCACCGGCUAACUCCGUGCCAGCAGCCGCGGUAAUACGGAGGGUGCAAGCGUUAAUCGGAAUUACUGGGCGUAAAGCGCACGCAGGCGGUCUGUCAAGUCGGAUGUGAAAUCCCCGGGCUCAACCUGGGAACUGCAUUCGAAACUGGCAGGCUAGAGUCUUGUAGAGGGGGGUAGAAUUCCAGGUGUAGCGGUGAAAUGCGUAGAGAUCUGGAGGAAUACCGGUGGCGAAGGCGGCCCCCUGGACAAAGACUGACGCUCAGGUGCGAAAGCGUGGGGAGCAAACAGGAUUAGAAACCCUAGUAGUCCC
rnacentral:rRNA from 1 species